rnacentral:lncRNA from 1 species
UGCUGGCAAGAAGGCUGCAACACCCUACUUGGAUGAUCAAUUAUAUGCUGAUUCAAUGUCCCAUUCAGUAGACAUACAGCUCAAAGAAAUGUACUCCUGUACUUGUUUGACUGGGAUGUUAAUGUUGCACUGCAGUCUUCUUUGUCUGUGUCUGGAGUGGGACAUCCAUUCUAAUAUCAAACACACAAUCCCUGCCCACCUCUUCUUUUAAAUGCUCAACCAUUAUCAUCAUGUUCACUAUGGGCUCCACAAAACUAAAAUUCUGGAGUGCCAGUCUUCGGCUUUGCACCAGAUGUGUACGACUGCUACAGAAACUCUCUGUCCAUUUUGUGACCCUAAGAUCUAGUAUGAAUAAUUUCAAAGUGCCUUGCAGCACCUAUUAUUAUCCUUUGCAACCAAUUCAACUUCCCAUGAUCUAAGCAGCAAAUACCCAUGCCUGA